rnacentral:rRNA from 1 species
CAUGGAGGGUGAGAAUCCCGUCCGGUUGAUCAGAUUCGCUUUACGAUACGCUUUCUAAGAGUCAAGUUGUUUGGGAUUGCAGCUUAAAAUGGGAGGUAAAUUUCUCCUAAGGCUAAAUAACGGCGAGAGACCGAUAGCGAACAAGUACCGUGAGGGAAAGAUGAAAAGAACUUUGAAAAGAGAGUUAAAUAGUACGUGAAAUUGUUGAAAGGGAAACGAUUGAAGCCAGUCGUACCUAUGGGUAAUCAGCCUUUUGGGUGUGAUUUUGUGGAGCGUGAGGAGUUAAACGCCUUCAUGCCUGCAUAUUCGUGCACUUUGGGUGUACUUGCUCGUGUGGUAGGUUAACAUCAAUUUUGGUGGUCAUAAAAUGACUGGAGGAAUGUAGCUUCGAUCUCGUAUUGAAGUGUUAUAGCCUUCGGUAGAUGUGAUGAUCGAGAUUGAGGAUUGCAACGGAUACCCUUCGGGGCUACCUGUCUGAUCUCUGAUCGUUGCUCUGGUGCCGAAAGCUUGCUUACGGUUAUCAAAGUCGAUGGUCAAUAGGUUAGAACGGGUUAAAUUCGUUAAGGAUGUUGACGUAAUGG